rnacentral:rRNA from 1 species
GAUGAACGCUAGCUACAGGCUUAACACAUGCAAGUCGAGGGGCAGCAUGGUCUUAGCUUGCUAAGGCCGAUGGCGACCGGCGCACGGGUGAGUAACACGUAUCCAACCUGCCGUCUACUCUUGGACAGCCUUCUGAAAGGAAGAUUAAUACAAGAUGGCAUCAUGAGUCCGCAUGUUCACAUGAUUAAAGGUAUUCCGGUAGACGAUGGGGAUGCGUUCCAUUAGAUAGUAGGCGGGGUAACGGCCCACCUAGUCUUCGAUGGAUAGGGGUUCUGAGAGGAAGGUCCCCCCANAUUGGAACUGAGACACGGUCCAAACUCCUACGGGGAGCAGCAGUGAGGAAUAUUGGUCAAUGGGCGAGAGCCUGAACCAGCCAAGUAGCGUGAAGGGUGACUGCCCUAUGGGUUGUAAACUUCUUUUAUAUAGGAAUAAAGUUUCCACGUGUGGAAUUUGAUGUACCAGUAUGAAUAAGGAUCGGCUAACUCCGUGCCUAG